UCCGUCAUCCAUAAUAAAUAAUAAGCGUUACAUAAAUGUCGUUUACUAAUCUCGCAGACGUAAAGAAAUUAUAUAUCUUUGGUCCCCUACCUCAAGUGAAAACGUGUUGUUUUUGUGUUAAUUUAAAAAUUGGUUGUGUUGCUAUAGGAGUAAUUUAUUUACUUUUCAUCGUUGAGACAUUCACAGGCGGUGCAGCAAAUAGGGAAUUUACGAAAUGUUUCUUCAUAGGCCCCGUACUAGAAAUUUUAGGCUGGACUGCAGGCGCAAUGUGUUUGAUAACGUUAAUAUCAACGCUCCUUUUUCUAUACGGAAUUGCUCAGACAAAACCUACCACAUAUUUAAUUUUCAUGUAUACUACAGUAAUGUUGAUCCUAUUUAAUAUGGUCACAAGCUGCUUAAUGUUAUUUGUAGUCACAAAGGAAUGCACAAGGCCAUACCUUUUCGGGGGAGCAAAUUUUGCUGGAGCCCUAUUUCUUGUUUAUUUCCUGGUGGUAGUCAACAGUUUCUAUCGGGAUGAAAUGACCGCUAAUACCAACAACACCGGUAGUAGCAACAACAACAACGCUAACAGCAGCAAAAACAACAAAAACGACAGUGACAACGACAGUAAAAACGACAGCGACAGUAAAAAACACUAUAACACACCCAACAUCUCGAACAUCAGCCACAAUGUCAACAGAACCGACAACAACAACGACGACAGCGACAGAAACAAACCCAGCGACCAAAAAACCGACAAAACCGACAUUGUUAAUGACAAAUAUAUCUAAAGUAUGAGAUGCUUGGAUAACAUCAGUGGUUUCAUCACUCUGCAAUUGUACAAUUUACUAGGUUUUUUUAUACACGCGUUUUAU